ACGGCGAGUGAAGCGGCAAGAGCUCAAAUUUGAAAUCCUGCGGGAGUUGUAGUUUGAAGGCCGGCGGCGAGCGCGCGAGCAAAGUCCUCUGGAACGAGGCGCCGCAGAGGGUGACAGCCCCGUGGCUCGCAUGCUCGGACGCUGCCGCGCCGACGAGUCGAGUUGUUUGGGAAUGCAGCUCCAAGUGGGUGGUAAACUCCAUCUAAAGCUAAAUAGCGGCGAGAGACCGAUAGCGAACAAGUACAGUGAUGGAAAGAUGAAAAGCACUUUGAAAAGAGAGUGAAACAGUACGUGAAAUUGUUGGAAGGGAAGGGCAUGCGCGCAGACACCGCGAGGGCCCAGUGGGGGGUCUCGCGCCACGAGAAGCGUUGCCGGAGCAGCCAUUGGCGGCGCCGGCAAAGGAUGGUGGCGCGGGGCCCCAGGACCGCCACGCAAGUGCCGGCCACUGGGGUAAUGCGCGUAUGCCGCCCGUCUUGAAACACGGACCAA
rnacentral:rRNA from 1 species